UACAGAGGUCCCAAGCGUUGUUCGGAUUCACUGGGCGUAAAGGGCGCGUAGGCGGCGGGGUCAGUCGGGUGUGAAAUCUUGGGGCUUAACCCCGAAACGGCACUCGAAACUGCCCGGCUGGAGGGCCGGAGAGGAGAUCGGAAUUCACGGUGUAGCAGUGAAAUGCGUAGAGAUCGUGAGGAAGACCCGUGGCGAAGGCGGAUCUCCGGACGGCUAACUGACGCUGAGGCGCGAAGGCCAGGGGAGCAAACGGG
rnacentral:rRNA from 1 species